AGUGAACGCUGGCGGUAGGCCUAACACAUGCGAGUCGAACGGCAGCACAGUAAGAGCUUGCUCUUACGGGUGGCGAGUGGCGGACGGGUGAGGAAUACAUCGGAAUCUACUUUUUCGUGGGGGAUAACGUAGGGAAACUUACGCUAAUACCGCAUACGACCUACGGGUGAAAGCAGGGGAUCUUCGGACCUUGCGCGAUUGAAUGAGCCGAUGUCGGAUUAGCUAGUUGGCGGGGUAAAGGCCCACCAAGGCGACGAUCCGUAGCUGGUCUGAGAGGAUGAUCAGCCACACUGGAACUGAGACACGGUCCUGACUCCUACGGGAGGCAGCAGUGGGGAAUAUUGGACAAUGGGCGCAAGCCUGAUCCAGCCAUACCGCGUGGGUGAAGAAGGCCUUCGGGUUGUAAAGCCCUUUUGUUGGGAAAGAAAAGCAGCAGGUUAAUACCCCGCUGUUCUGACGGUACCCAAAGAAUAAGCACCGGCUAACUUCGUG
rnacentral:rRNA from 1 species